GCCUCGUUGGUGUAGCUGGCCCAGCAUGCAAAAAAAAAUCAUUUUGAAUUUUUCAUGAAAGGCUCUCACCCUUGCGACACGGGUUCAAAUCCCGUACGAGGCA
rnacentral:tRNA from 2 species